GAUGAAGAACGUAGCGAAAUGCGAUAAGUAAUGUGAAUUGCAGAAUUCAGUGAAUCAUCGGAUCUUUGAACGCACAUUGCGCCCGCCAGUAUUCUGGCGGGCAUGCCUGUCCGAGCGUCAUUUCAACCCUCGAACCCCUCCGGGGGGUCGGCGUUGGGGACCUCGGGAGCCCCUAAGACGGGAUCCCGGCCCCGAAAUACAGUGGCGGUCUCGCCGCAGCCUCUCCUGCGCAGUAGUUUGCACAACUCGCACCGGGAGCGCGGCGCGUCCACGUCCGUAAAACACCCAACUUCUGAAAUGUUGACCUCGGAUCAGGUAGGAAUACCCGCUGAACUUAAGCAUAUCAAUAAGCGGAGGA
rnacentral:misc_RNA from 1 species